UACGUAGGUGGCAAGCGUUGUCCGGAUUUACUGGGCGUAAAGAGCGCGCAGGCGGUCGUUCAAGUCGCGUGUGAAAGCCCCCGGCUCAACUGGGGAGGGUCACGCGAUACUGAUCGACUCGAAGGCAGGAGAGGGAAGUGGAAUUCCCGGUGUAGUGGUGAAAUGCGUAGAUAUUCGGAAGAACACCAGUGGCGAAGGCGACACACUGGCCCGUUACUGACGCUGAGGCGCGAAAGCGUGGGGAGCAAACAGG
rnacentral:rRNA from 1 species